rnacentral:rRNA from 1 species
AACGGGUGAGUAACACGUAUCCAACCUACCCUUAAGUUGGGGAUAACUAGUCGAAAGAUUAGCUAAUACCGAAUAAUAACAUCAAUAUCGCAAUGAGAAGAUGUAGAAAGUCGCGUUUGCGACGCUUUUGGAUGGGGGUGCGACGUAUCAGAUAGUUGGUGAGGGUAAUGGCUCACCAAGUCAAUGAUGUUUAGCCGGGUCGAGAGACUGAACGGCCACAUUGGGACUGAGAUACGGCCCAAACUCCUACGGGAGGCAGCAGUU